rnacentral:piRNA from 1 species
UGAGUUAUUUGAGGAUCAAGAAGCCU